rnacentral:RNase_P_RNA from 1 species
GACCGAUAGUCUGGGUCGCAUGAUCAGGCGCUUCACGAAGUAAGGCUUGCCCCUUGGCCGAGGUAACGCCUGGGCGCCGAGAGGCGACGGAACAGGGCCACAGAGAACAGACCGCCCUUGUAUCCAAAGGGUAAGGGUGAAACGGUGGGGUAAGAGCCCACCGCGCGUCUGGCAACAGGCGCGGCACGGCAACCCCCGGUCGGAGCAAGGCCAAAUAAGCAGCGAGACCCGGCCCGGGUCGUUCGAGCUGCGGGUAGGCUGCACGAGAUGGCUGGCGACAGCUAUCCCAGAGAGAUGACCAUCUGCUCGUACCAACGAGUAAACAGAACUCGGCUUAUGGUCUCAC